GCCUGAGUUCCAAGUUGUGCCAUAUCGGUGGAUGUACUCUACAUGUUCCAAAUUCCCAUUCUUCGCUUCGUCACAUUUCUCUUUGUAACCGAACAUAAUAAUAUCACAGUUGCAUGUAGACCCGUUGCCAAUAUUGCAUUCCCCUCUAAAACGUACAGGAAGACAGUUCUUCCCCAUAACUAAGUACAGGAACUUUUUUGGCGUUGCCGAAGUGCUGAUCAGGCAGCUUCCAGAUGGUAUAAACCGUUCCUCGAUAUUUUCACCAGUAAAGAA